GCGCAUAUCUUAUUGUCAAGGAGACAUUCUGGACAAUGAAUUGUACGUGUAUAUUGAUGUGAGGAGCUUUUCUCCAUCGACUGAGCGCUCAUUCUGUGGUCUGGUAAAUUGCUAAGAGGUGGUGGGUUGCUAACAGUAAUAUUCUGGCGCCGUCAUGUGGCCAAAAAACUACAGUGCUAUCUAAAGACCAAAGGCUAUGUCAAUUAUUUGCUUACGAGCAAAUAAUAAAAAGAUGCUUCACACAGGGAGAAUUGGUGUUUAAAAUGUGGACAUCUGCAUGAGUGGCUUCCUGCAUACAGCUGCAACCACCUGCUCAUCGUAUCAUCAGGCAGAUUAAAGGAUGUAAUCUGCGUGGCCCACAUGACAUGCCUGCUGCAUUGAGCUCAAACCUCUGAUUGGACAGUGAUGCUUUGGCGUGUGUUCAACAACACCCGGAAGAAAAUGAUAUCUUUUCACUAAGCUGGUCAACAGUGGGUCAACAGAGAUGCUCAAAGGAAGAGGCCAUUGUCUCCAGUGUAAGACAAGCGGGGCUAAUCAUUGUACGAGGCGAGUCUGGACCUGCCUGAGCUGUCAGAGGACUCGUGUGACACACAAAUUUAAAGACAUACAAACAAGGAUUUAGCUGCGAACAUCCUCCUUCGCCCUGCCGUCAUCUUUCAUUUCCGACAGCCUUUGUGGCAAGUUUGGACUUGUACGAGCAUCCCUCCCAAGGUCUGAGAGUGAAACGCCAUCCUACUGGGUACAUAAAACCCCUUCUUGUUCACCCCAGUACAUAAACCCAACAUCUGUACGUCCACGGUAAGUCUCGCAGGCGACACAGACACAACAAGCGCGGUGCUGAGCCAACAGGCCUGCCGGGUCCUUUAUUAGACAAGGUAGGUUGCGGCAGUGAAUGGGCCCCUGCCAGUAGUCUGUGGUGGUCGAUGUGCGUCUCGGCAGGCAGCUAUUGUUAUGGUAAACUGAGGUUUGAAAGGAAGAGGAUGGGCAGGACAUACACAUAAAAACGAGGGAAAACACGAGGCGGGGAUAGAGGGCAGUACCCGACCACCUCAGAGAUGGCACGUAUGGAAGCAAGCACCUUUAUUCACUUGUUGAUGUGGACUCACCCAUUAUUGUGUCAAAUAUUAUUCUGUUAAAUAUUUCAUCACAAAUGCUUGUUGUAACACAACACUCAAGUGAGUUCUAAUCAAUUGAUAAAUUGAAGAAGUGAAUCUCACAGCAUCGUUAAAAUGACAAGCUGGAGCGUUACAUAUUGCCUUAUGAUGCAUUCAAACAUCACGGCAACAAGGAUCAAAAUGUGCAAUUCCAAAUUUGCUAUAUUAGUACUAUUUACAAAUAUGUGUGUUGCAGUAAUUU